GUUCCAUUCUCCUUGACAAUGAUCAGUUUAAAACAGGAUUUCCUAACCUCAGAACUUUUGGCGUGUGGAGCUGGAUAGUUCUUUGCUGCGGGGUGCUGUCCUGUGCAUUGUAGGAUGUCUAACAGCGCCCCUGGCCUCUGCCCACUAGAUGCCAGUAGCAGUAACAUCCCUCUUGCACCCCAGAUGUGACAACCCAAAAUGUCUCUAGAAAUUGCCAAAUGUGCCCUAGAGAGCAAAAAUUCACUUGACUGGGAACCACCAGCUUAUGAAUCAGCAGAUUAGCCCUGAGCUAACAUCUGUUGCCAAUCCUGCUCUUUUUGCUGAGGAAGACUAGCCCUGAGCUAACAUCCAUGCCCAUCUUCCUCUACUUUAUACGUGGGACGCCUGCCACAGCAUGGCUUGCCAAGCAGUGCCAUGUCUGCACCCGGGAUCUGAGCCAGUGAACCUUGGGCUGUGGAAGCCGAACGUGUGAACUUAACUGCCGCGCCACCAGAGUAAGAGACCCGUGAAAGUCGUAUUGUGAUCCUGCCUGGUUUUUAGCCUAUUUGUUCAAAGUACAUGGAUCAAAUCCGGUUGCUUCCAUGUGGAGUAAGUGGAUUGAAAGUAGCAACUUGAAUUUCAACGUGUAAGAUAUUCGGGUAACUUUCCAUCCAUAGUGAUCAGCUUUCAGUUUUGAAAUGUAACUAAAUAAAGGAAG
rnacentral:lncRNA from 1 species